AGCGAACGCUGGCGGCAGGCUUAACACAUGCAAGUCGAGCGGGCACUUCGGUGUCAGCGGCAGACGGGUGAGUAACACGUGGGAACGUACCCUUUGGUUCGGAAUAACGCUGGGAAACUAGCGCUAAUACCGGAUACGCUCUUUUGGGGAAAGGUUUGCUGCCGAAGGAUAGGCGCGCGUCUGAUUGGCUAGUUGGUGUGGUAAUGGCCUACCUAGGCGACGAUCAGUAGCUGGUCUGAGAGGAUGAUCAGCCACACUGGGACUGAGACACGGCGGAGACUCCUGCGGGAGGGAGGAGAGGGGAAUAUAGGAAAAUGGGGUCAAGGCUGAUGCAGCCAUGCUGGGUGAGUGAUGAAGGCCGGAGGGAUGUAAAGCUGUUUUGUCCGGGACGAUAAUGACGGUACCGGAAGAAUAAGCCCCGGCUAACUUCGUG
rnacentral:rRNA from 1 species